rnacentral:tRNA from 1 species
GAGGGUAUAGCUCAGUGAUAGAGCGCAUGCUCAGCAUACCUGAGGUCCUGGAUUCAAUCCCCAGUACCGCCA